CCUACGGGCGGCAGCAGUGAGGAAUAUUGGUCAAUGGACGAGAGUCUGAACCAGCCAAGUAGCGUGAAGGAUGACUGCCCUAUGGGUUGUAAACUUCUUUUAUAUGGGAAUAAAAUGUUCCACGUGUGGGAUUUUGUAUGUACCAUAUGAAUAAGGAUCGGCUAACUCCGUGCCAGCAGCCGCGGUAAUACGGAGGAUCCGAGCGUUAUCCGGAUUUAUUGGGUUUAAAGGGAGCGUAGGUGGAUUGUUAAGUCAGUUGUGAAAGUUUGCGGCUCAACCGUAAAAUUGCAGUUGAAACUGGCAGUCUUGAGUACAGUAGAGGUGGGCGGAAUUCGUGGUGUAGCGGUGAAAUGCUUAGAUAUCACGAAGAACUCAGAUUGCGAAGGCAGUUCACUGGACUGCAACUGACACUGAGGCUCGAAAGUGUGGGUAUCAAACAGGAUUAGAUACCCUUGUAGU
rnacentral:rRNA from 1 species